rnacentral:lncRNA from 10 species
GGGAAACCAGCUGCUACAUCACCAUCAGCCUUGUGACCAUGCCACAUGGUGUUCCACAGACAUCCUACAUGCAUGACAUUGAUUCACUCUUACAUUUGACAGGAUUGCAGGAGCUCCUCAGACAAGAUCUGUGGCAACAGUAACAAUAAAAGCAUCCCAUGCGGACCAAACUCCUGCUGCAGAACCUGGCCGUCCACUCCACCCACGUGCCUUAGCAAAGUGCCCUUGGUGAGGCUGAGGGACUAGGCAGCCAGGACUCCUGAGGGGACCUUAUCAGAGAGGGAAGCCACCUCGGACUGAGUGGUGAGUGCUGCUCUAGGACUGCCCUAAAACUGGAUUUGAACAAAAGACCACAUGCCGUAUGACUCCAUUGGAAUGAAACAUCCAGAACAGGCAAAGCCACAGAGGCAGGAAGCAGGUGAGUGGUUGCCAGGGGCUGGGAGAGUGGGGCCAGGAAGUGGCUGCUCAGGGAAUGGGCUUCCUUUUGGGGUGAUGAAAAUGUUCUAUAACUAGAGGGUGGCAAUGGUGGCAUAGCUUUAUAAAUGGGCUAAAUGCUACAGAAUUCUACAUUUUGAAAAUAGUUAAAAUGAUACAUUUUCUUUUGAGACAGGGUCUUACUGUGUCUGGCAGUCUGGACUGAGUGUGGCUCACUGCAGACUCAACCUCUCUGGGCGUAGGUGAUUCUCCUGCCUCAGCCUCCCAAGUAGCUGGGACAACAAGUGUGCGCCACUACAUCCCAACUAUUUUUUUUUUUUUUGGUAGAGAUGGGGCUUCUGUGUGUUGCCCAGGUUGUUUUUUUUUUGUUUUUUUUGAGAUGGAGUUUCGCUGUUAUAGCCCAGGCUGGAGUGCAAUAGCGUGAUCUCGGCUCACUGUAACCUUGUCCUCCCGGGUUCAAGCAAUUCUCCUGCCUCAGCCUCCCAAGUAGCUGGGAUUAUAGCCAUGCAUCACCACAUCCAGCUA